GACGGGCCCCGCACAAGCAGCGGAGCGUGUGGUUUAAUUCGUUGCUACACGAAGAACCUUACCUGGGUUUGACAUAGAGGUGGUAGGGAAGCGAAAGCGGACCGACCCUUCGGGGAGCCUCUACAGGUGUUGCAUGGCUGUCGUCAGCUCGUGUCGUGAGAUGUUCGGUUAAGUCCGCUAACGAGCGCAACCCUCGCUGUGUGUUACAAGUGUCACACGGUACUGCCGGUAUUAAAGUCGGAGGAAGGUGGGGAUGACGUCAAGUCAGCAUGACCUUUAUAUCCAGGGCUACACACACGCUACAAUGGUCAGUACAAUAGGUUGCCAAGCCGCGAGGCGGAGCCAAUCCUAAAAAGCUGGCCUCAGUUCAGAUUGCAGUCUGCAACUCGACUGCAUGAAGUUGGAGUUGCUAGUAACCGCAGGUCAGCAUGCCGCGGUGAAUACGUUCCCGGGCCUU
rnacentral:rRNA from 1 species